GUUUUUUGUUGUUUUUAAUCACAUAUAUUGACAGUUUCAUGAUACAGAGGAGAGCGACUCAGAAAGUGUCUGUCCAGGGUGGGAGGGGUCACUCUCAGGGUCCUGGAGGUGUCCAGGUGUUGGAGAGAAGGAAGACUGCAGACACCUUCUCAGCCAAAUGGAUGACACACUGCAGCAGAAAGACUUCAGUCUCCACUCAUGUAGGAUGAUGGAGGCUGGUGGGGCUGGUUCCUCCUGCAGACGUUCCAACAGCUGCAGUUCCUCUAACGGCCACUUGAAGCUGACUCCAAAUGUGAGUUAAUAUUUACAGUUUUCAGGGUCUCUGGUCAAAUUUUAAACCUGAUGCACUGAAACAAACCCUGGUGUGAAUCCAGAGAGUCUCAUGUGUGGUGUGUGAGUGUGGAGUAGGUCUGGUCCUGGUCCCUGGCGGCUGGAUGGAGGCUCUGGUAGGUCGAGUCUUCACGUGUAGAACCUGGAGUACAGUUCUCGUAGUGGGACGUCCUAAAACAGAGACACACUGUCUUCUUCACAUAACAAGAACAGACUCUGACUUGGUGAAAUCAUUUGUGCUGGUAAAUAUUUCCAUGUUGCCUCGUUGAACCUCUCAGACAACAGUGUCUCUGUUUGUUGUUGGAGUCUCCGUCUGGGCGGCCAUUUUUGUCACCUACCUGUUUGAAUUCACCUUCUUGGAUUGUAAUUUCUGGAACAGUCUACAAACUGAACCAUCACACUGUGACUGCUUUAUUUCUUUGUUACGGUAGCAGUCUGUCAGCAGUGAGAGGAAACAAAGAGAAAGAAAGUCACCUCCAUGUUUGUGCCCUCUGAGUUUCCUCUGGUCCUCAAACCUGUGGAACAAACAGGAUGUUCCUCUGUUAGAAGGACCAAUCAUUCAAAGUGCACCUGAGGAAGAAACACGAGAGAUCAUUCAGAAUUAUUCACUUUGGUUAUGAGCAGUCUGAUAUCUGGAUUUUUAUAUAUCUGUUUAUUUAUUGUUUCUCCCACUGUCUGCUCCUCUGCUCUGUGUUUCCAUUUUCCUCUCUGACUUUGCUCCGUUUAUAUUUUGUUCUUUUCUGCAAGUUUCCAGCAAUGAAGCUGAAGUGAUUUCACAUCCUGACUCCUGAAUAUUGGAGCCAGAACCUGCCUCAGUGCAGAAUCACAUGACAUGUACUUGAUAACACACAAGCCUGAAUCAGUCAGUUUUCACUCUGUCAGCUCAGUGGUAAAAAGCAUAGCCUGUAUAUUAAAGAUGGAAUUAUCUGCUGUAAUGUCAGCUGUUGCUUUGUGCACUCCUGUUAUAAAAGCCUCAGUUCAGCUUGUUGGCUGCAGCAGGAAAGUGUUUACUGAGGUCACAGUGAGCAGUCAGCUCAUAGAUACAAGCAGCCAUAACCAGAGUCGUCUGUGGUGAACGCCUGUGUUUAACUGAAUGAGCUGAAUGUCAGAUCCUGUUUGUCUUCCUGUUUUCUCUGUGAUGUUUCUUUGACCUUGAAGUUUCCCAGAUAUGUACUAAUCAUGUUGACCUCUUUCUUCUUCACCUCUCUGCUUUACUAAUUCCUGAGUCAAUAUCUUAUUUUAAACUCAUGAAAACUGUGCACGGUCUCUUCUUCUAUAGGAAAAGACGAAUACAUGAUGCAUUCUUAAAGGGAUUUUUCAUUUUUGUAUUUUUUGUGCUUUCUAACAUGUUUCUUAACAUCAUUGGACCAUAACAUAAUUCAUUUAUAUAGCACAGUAAAAACAACACAUGGUCGACCAAAGUGCUGUACAUCAGUGCAGCAGAUCUGCCUGAGAAAUAUUCUGCUAUUGUGUUUCUCUCUUUCCUUUCUCUCCCUCUGUCACCUGGGCAGAGUUCACUGUGGGCUCCCACCUUUGGCCUACAUACCUGGGAGACGAGUAACACCUGCGUCUCAUUAACUGGCCUCUACUUAAGUGAGACUGCUCUUCACUGGAUUGUUGCUUGACUUGUGUCAGUGAAAUCCUGUCUAGGACACUGCUAAUCUAGUUCCCUUGUGUACAGACCUGCCCUUGUUCCUUACGGAGAUUCUGGUGUGAGAGAGGAGUGAGAGAUUGGUGAGAUGCCAAGAGAGACAGAAGGGGAGUGAGAGUGUUCCCCUGCAGAUUCCCUGGAGCCCUGAUCCCUGAUCCCUGCACUCUUGUAUAGCACUUUGUCACUGUGGCACAUUUCACCUGGUGUUAGUGAAUAAAGCCUCUGUUCUUCCUUUGAGCAAAGGAGUCCUGCGUUUGAGUCCCUCCAGUUACCGUAACAAUAAGUAUCAAUAAAAUAACAGAGUCAGUUACGCACUGAGUCAAAAGCCUGUUAAUAGAAAUGAGUUUUUAACCUGGAUUUAAAGGCCAACACUGAAGCAGAUUGCAGUUCAAAGCUUCGGGGCCACGAUGGAGAACGCUCGGUCUCCUCUCAGCCGUUAUUUAGGGACUGAGAGCAACAGCUGAGCAACUGACCGGAGUGAUUGGGGAGAGAAGGAGCAGAUCUGACAAAUAUACAGGCGCCAGACCAGUUAAGGAUUUAAAAACCAGUAAAAGGAUUUUAAAUUAGAUCCUAAAUUCAACUGGAAGCCAGUGUAAGGACAUCAGAACCAGAGUAAUAUACUCAAAUGUUCUUUUACCAGUUAAAACUGUGCUGCAGCACGUAAAUGAAGGGCAGUCUGUUAAUAUUUUUUUGCACUUAAAUCAAUGAAUUAACAAAGCAGUGAAUCGUGUCCUUCCUCCUGAAUGCUCCACCUCUCACUAAACCAAUCAGAGUACUGAGCAGUAAGAACUGAAACAGAGACUCAGUCUGAUCCUCCUGAAAUCACCCACGCUGCAUGUGUGUUUGGUUACCUCAGGUUUUGAGCCUAACAUCUAUCCGUGUCCUCAAACCAAAGCGUGCAGACGAGUCACAAAGAAAAAGUCAGAGAAAAUAUUUUUGUUUCACUGCAGCUUUGACAAGUGACAUAAAAUUAUUAGAACAGCCAGUGAUGAGAGGACGAUGAUGAUGAUGAUGAUGAUGAUGACAGCCACAGUCAGACCCACAGGCAGCGAAACACCUGCAGCAGAUUCAGAAGACGUUAGUUUACACUCACAUGUCCUGAUACAGCAUGUAAUCAGUAUUUUCUCUGUCAUGUUAGUAACAUGAGGCCCCUGAGGUGAGUAUUUACCUGUAUGCACCUAAAUUCAGACUCAGGGUAAGUUGGAGAUAUUUUGCAUGACUGUGUUAAACAGUCUCAUUCUCCAGUUAAUACCAAACGUGUUUGGACAUCUUUAUGUAAGUUUAUAUCUGUAGACCACAGCAGUGGAGUUUAAAUCAAACCAUCAACAUUUGAGUAAAGUUUUUAUUAAAAGUUUUAAAUUAACUAAAUUGUUUGAUAUAAAUUCCACAGUAGUCGUGUACAGAGGAGGAUUUUUAAAAACCUGUGGACACAAUUGUACCUUCAG
ensembl:lncRNA